AUGAACGCUAGCUACAGGCUUAACACAUGCAAGUCGAGGGGCAGCAUUUUAGUUUGCUUGCAAACUGAAGAUGGCGACCGGCGCACGGGUGAGUAACACGUAUCCAACCUGCCGAUAACUCCGGAAUAGCCUUUCGAAAGAAAGAUUAAUACCGGAUAGCAUACGAAUAUCGCAUGAUAUUUUUAUUAAAGAAUUUCGGUUAUCGAUGGGGAUGCGUUCCAUUAGUUUGUUGGCGGGGUAACGGCCCACCAAGACAACGAUGGAUAGGGGUUCUGAGAGGAAGGUCCCCCACAUUGGAACUGAGACACGGUCCAAACUCCUACGGGAGGCAGCAGUGAGGAAUAUUGGUCAAUGGGCGAGAGCCUGAACCAGCCAAGUAGCGUGAAGGAUGAAGGCUCUAUGGGUCGUAAACUUCUUUUAUAUGGGAAUAAAGUUUUCCACGUGUGGAAUUUUGUAUGUACCAUAUGAAUAAGGAUCGGCUAACUCCGUGCCAGCAGCCGCGGUAAUACGGAGGAUCCGAGCGUUAUCCGGAUUUAUUGGGUUUAAAGGGAGCGUAGGUGGAUUGUUAAGUCAGUUGUGAAAGUUUGCGGCUCAACCGUAAAAUUGCAGUUGAAACUGGCAGUCUUGAGUACAGUAGAGGUGGGCGGAAUUCGUGGUGUAGCGGUGAAAUGCUUAGAUAUCACGAAGAACUCCGAUUGCGAAGGCAGCUCACUAGACUGUCACUGACACUGAUGCUCGAAAGUGUGGGUAUCAAACAAGAUUAGAUACCCUGGUAGUCCACACAGUAAACGAUGAAUACUCGCUGUUUGCGAUAUACAGUAAGCGGCCAAGCGAAAGCAUUAAGUAUUCCACCUGGGGAGUACGCCGGCAACGGUGAAACUCAAAGGAAUUGACGGGGGCCCGCACAAGCGGAGGAACAUGUGGUUUAAUUCGAUGAUACGCGAGGAACCUUACCCGGGCUUAAAUUGCAACAGAAUAUAUUGGAAACAGUAUAGCCGUAAGGCUGUUGUGAAGGUGCUGCAUGGUUGUCGUCAGCUCGUGCCGUGAGGUGUCGGCUUAAGUGCCAUAACGAGCGCAACCCUUAUCUUUAGUUACUAACAGGUGAUGCUGAGGACUCUAGAGAGACUGCCGUCGUAAGAUGUGAGGAAGGUGGGGAUGACGUCAAAUCAGCACGGCCCUUACGUCCGGGGCUACACACGUGUUACAAUGGGGGGUACAGAAGGCGGCUACCUGGUGACAGGAUGCUAAUCCCAAAAACCUCUCUCAGUUCGGAUCGAAGUCUGCAACCCGACUUCGUGAAGCUGGAUUCGCUAGUAAUCGCGCAUCAGCCAUGGCGCGGUGAAUACGUUCCCGGGCCUUGUACACACCGCCCGUCAACCCAUGAAAGCCGGGGGUACCUGAAGUACGUAACCGCAAGGAGCGUCCUAGGGUAAAACUGGUAAUUGGGGCU
rnacentral:rRNA from 1 species